rnacentral:rRNA from 1 species
AGUAGUCACGAGUUUGAUCCUGGCUCAGAACGAACGCUGGCGGCAUGCCUAACACAUGCAAGUCGAACGAGACCUUCGGGUCUAGUGGCGCACGGGUGCGUAACGCGUGGGAACCUGCCUUUAGGUUCGGAAUAACUCAGAGAAAUUUGAGCUAAUACCGGAUAAUGUCUUCGGACCAAAGAUUUAUCGCCUUUAGAUGGGCCCGCGUUGGAUUAGCUAGUUGGUGGGGUAAAGGCCUACCAAGGCGACGAUCCAUAGCUGGUCUGAGAGGAUGAUCAGCCACACUGGGACUGAGACACGGCCCAGACUCCUACGGGAGGCAGCAGUGGGGAAUAUUGGACAAUGGGCGAAAGCCUGAUCCAGCAAUGCCGCGUGAGUGAUGAAGGCCUUAGGGUUGUAAAGCUCUUUUACCCGAGAUGAUAAUGACAGUAUCGGGAGAAUAAGCUCCGGCUAACUCCGUG